CGAAUGGCUCAUUAAAUCAGUUAUCGUUUAUUUGAUAGUACCUUACUACUUGGAUAACCGUGGUAAUUCUAGAGCUAAUACAUGCUAAAAACCCCGACUUCGGGAGGGGUGUAUUUAUUAGAUAAAAAACCAACGCCCUUCGGGGCUUCUUGGUGAUUCAUGAUAACUUAACGAAUCGCAUGGCCUUGCGCCGGCGAUGGUUCAUUCAAAUUUCUGCCCUAUCAACUUUCGAUGGUAGGAUAGUGGCCUACCAUGGUAUCAACGGGUAACGGGGAAUUAGGGUUCUAUUCCGGAGAGGGAGCCUGAGAAACGGCUACCACAUCCAAGGAAGGCAGCAGGCGCGCAAAUUACCCAAUCCCGACACGGGGAGGUAGUGACAAUAAAUACUGAUACAGGGCUCUUUUGGGUCUUGUAAUUGGAAUGAGWACAAUUUAAAUCCCUUAACGAGGAACAAUUGGAGGGCAAGUCUGGUGCCAGCAGCCGCGGUAAUUCCAGCUCCAAUAGCGUAUAUUAAAGUUGUUGCAGUUAAAAAGCUCGUAGUUGAACCUUGGGCCUGGCUGGCCGGUCCGCCUCACCGCGUGCACUGGUCCGGCCGGGCCUUUCCUUCUGGGGAGCCGCAUGCCCUUCACUGGGUGUGUCGGGGAACCAGGACUUUUACUUUGAAAAAAUUAGAGUGUUCAAAGCAGGCCUUUGCUCGGAUACAUUAGCAUGGAAUAAUAGAAUAGGACGUGCGGUCCUAUUUUGUUGGUUUCUAGGACCGCCGUAAUGAUUAAUAGGGAUAGUCGGGGGCAUCAGUAUUCAAUUGUCAGAGGUGAAAUUCUUGGAUUUAUUGAAGACUAACUACUGCGAAAGCAUUUGCCAAGGAUGUUUUCAUUAAUCAGUGAACGAAAGUUAGGGGAUCGAAGACGAUCAGAUACCGUCGUAGUCUUAACCGUAAACUAUGCCGACUAGGGAUCGGGCGAUGUUAUCAUUUUGACUCGCUCGGCACCUUACGAGAAAUCAAAGUCU
rnacentral:rRNA from 1 species